GAAUAGUUUCAUUAGCAGUCAUUGAUUAUUCAUCAACUAUUGUGUGAAUUGAAUUUAAAUUUAUAAACAUCCUUGGAGGGCACCUAUGAAGAACCAAGUAUCAGGGAUCUUUGAUUAAAAAAAAAAAAGUGAUGCCUGAUUUCAACUUUCUUAUAAUCUAAUGGGGGAAGAAUUAUGCAAACAGAGUGAGUUUACCCAAAGUGCUCAUGGUAUGUUAGCUACAUGGUUGACAUCUGAUAUAUUUGGGGUCAUCCUCUCCCUGGCGGCACCCUCCUCCUGUGGGUAAGUGUCCUGCAGGAUGGUAAGAACCAUUACAGAGGGAUGGGACCAAGAAGCCGAGUGGUCAGCUGUACCUGGAUGAAUGUGGGAAGACUUCGUUUAGGAGGUUAGCCUGAACCUGAACCAAGAGGGAAUUUACCAGUUUGGUAAGGGAAAGAAUGAGGAAGGGAGGAGGGUGACAGAGGCACAGGAGAGAGAAGCAGCAGAACAUACAGGGAGGCAGCCAGAGGUUUGGAAUGACUGGAGUGCCAAGAGUAAGUGUUGGGAGCUGACAAGAAACAAGUCUGAAAGGGAAAGCAGGGGCCAGGUGAGAAAAGGCAAUGCCUGCCUGCAAAGGAACUGGGACAUUAUCCUCUGGAAAGCCUUUGAGCAAGUGAAGGGCUAAUCAAAUAUGCAUCUGUGUUUUUUUUUUCCACUAUAACUUUGCAACUGAAGAUGAGUUACCACCAGCAGAGCAUGUUGGCUAGUGGUGGGGAUGAAUUUGAAAUGAACCCCCUACCUUUCACCCUGUUUACCUUACAGACCAGUCAUAUGUGUUAUGAGAUGGUCAGCCUUGAGGUGGGGAUGGACAAAUUCACUUCCCAAGUGAAACAAUGUUACCCUGGAGUCUGGACAAGGGGCCUGGGCAGCUAUGGGCUUACCGCUAAGCUAUUUAGCUGUGGCUGCAAGGAACUUCAUAAUCAUGGAAGGCUGGCUGUGAGGGGCCUAGAGUUUAUGGGUGGAUUAAAUGAUUGAUUUGGGGGGCUUGAAGGGGCUAUCUCCCUUUAAAGCAGAAAGUUUGAAAGUAACAACCAGGAGAUGACUUGGGGAGUUCUUAUCAUCCAAUAGAAGCUGAUAGAAAAUGCUAGUCAGGUUGGAUCAGCCUCAGGGUUUUAGGUUUUGGGCAACCUUACCCAUAAGGAAGAGCAGUCUAUGGGCUGUAGUCAACUCCUGAUUACUGGAAGCCACAGGAGCCCCACCACUGUGACUAUCUCCGCGAUUGCCUCUUUCCAUUCACCCAAUCCUGACUUGCCAUUUGGAAAUAACAGAGGUAGAAGGAAGGGAGGGGAGAGAUAGGGAGAGGAUAGAAGAGAUUUCUGAUGCACUUAGGCCAUGCAGCUAGUUCUAAGACUGCAGCUAAGAAAACAACACUUACAAUGGUAGUUAUUACAGCAGCUACCAUUUCUUAAAUACCUAAUAUGUGCCAGACAUUCUACAGGGUAUUUUUUGGCUGUUAUAAGCUGGGCAUGUAAGAUUGGUAAUAUUAUUCCCAUUCUAGAGAUGAAGAAGCUGAAGCUCAAGGGUAUGAGGUCACUUGCCCAAGGUCCAGGAAAGUUCUAAGGGGACAGAGGAUUGGUCUGUGCUCACCAGUGGGACCCCAGAGUCUAUCAUACCUUAGGUAUUGAAUGAAUACUUGAUGGUGAGCAAAUGGAUAGUCAACAUCUAGAAAGGGCCCAAGGUGGGUUUUGAAUCCAAGUCUGUGUGACUCAGGAGCAAUUCCUUCCACUGUUCUCCACUGUCACAGAACAAAAGGCAGACGAAUGACAUUGCCAGAAUUAGUGCAGUGGCAUCAAAUGUCUGAGGAGAUCCAAAGGAAGAGAAUUUUCCAUGGCCUUCUAGUGGUCAAAUAAGGUGUAAUUAAACAAGGUGUAAUUAAACCUUCAAAAUUUAGAAGGUUGAAAGGGAAAGUUCAUUCUGUCCUGGGUGGAUUGAGAGUCAGAGCGAAGUCCUAUUAAAGAGCUCAGCCUCUGGGGUCAGACUCUGACUCUGCAUCUAGAACGCUGUCUGAUCUGGGACAAACUCUUUGUGCCUUAAUUUUCUUAUUGGUAGCUGGGAGUAGUUCAAGAUAAUCUACAUAAGUGACUUUUUUCACAGUGCUUGGCACACAUUAAUGGUUCAAUAAAUACUCUUUUUUAUUAUAGCAAAGCACUUAUUUUAUCUGGAGUGAAGAAAAGUGUGGGGAAGAUAGAGUGGGUUCAGAAUGCCCUGUGCCUAGAAAGCAGAGUAACAUAUGAAUUUUAUUGCCUGAUUAAAAAAAUUAAUGGCUCUCAUAAGGACUAAAUUGUUGCUGAUUUGGUGUUACCCCUCACUUACUGUGAAUUGAAAAGUUGGUCUUUUGUAGAAAAAACUUUAGUGUUCCAAGAUACUGGAUAAUUUCUAUGUUUCUGAUUUUAUGUCCAGGAGUGUGGUGUUUCUGAAGGACUUGGAUGACGACCUUUGUAGAUGCCCAGUAAAUGGAAGCCAACCCAUAAGCUGAAGCAAAACCAAACAAGCCCAGUAAAAUGAGGAUGAGCCCAUAACUAAACCCACAGCCUAGAGAAAGGUAAACUCUAUAAAACUGAGGAAACCCUGAUACCAGCUCUAGCCUUGUCACUGUAAUCCAUUGCACUGAGAGAAUUCCUACAAUAUUCUCAGUCUUUGUGUACAUUAAUACCUAAAAAAUGCAAUAACCAAGUUUGCAGAUGUGAUAUUUGUGGAUGUGAAAUUUACUUAGGAGGUAGCCUAUUUGCUGUAAUCAUUGCCUUGUGAUGCAGGCAAAAUUUUGCAAGUGGAUAAAGAUGCCAGCUUUCAUCCCAAAUGACAUAUUAGCAUUAAAUUAUGAUAUUCAGUGAGCGUUCUUUAUCCACUGCUAUAGAAUAGUUUAUAAGAGGGAGUCCUAUUAUUUCCACUACAUGUUGAUACAUCAGAGUGUUUAAUUAUUCCAGACAAUUUAUAUCUAUUCUUUUGCACAUCUUUCCUUAGCCCUCCCCGCAUGCUGCUUCCUUCAGAAGGUUAAAACCCAGAAGAUAAUUGUCGGAACAAAUAUGACUCAAAGAAAUCUGCAUGAGACAGCCCAAAUGUCAUGAUCUUGGCAGGUUGCGGCAUUGAAAAGUACAAAUUUGAGAACUGCUGUUAGUCUUAUUAGGAUAAUUUUUCCUGAGGAGAACGAUCAAGAUGGUGGAGUAGUAGGAUGUGGAGCUCACUUCCUCCCACAGAUAAAUCAAAAAUAUAUCUACAUGUGGAACAGUUUGCGCAGAAGACCUCAGACUUCUAAAAGGGCAAGAAGAAUCUCCAUGUUACUGGAUAGGACAGAAGAAAAAAAAAGAGAUAGGAAUUGGGAUGUGACCUAUGCCCCUGAGAGGGAGCUGUGAAAGAUGAAGUUUCCCACACCCUGGGGAGCCCCCUAACUGGUCAGGAGAUCACCAGGACAUAGGGGGAGCUUUAGAGCCAUGGAGAAUAGCACAGCAACAGGUUUGCAGAACAGAGAGACUUGCACAGAUGGCCUAUGGCACUGCCCUGCUCUCUUCAAUUUGAGAUAUGCAUCCACUGGUGUAGGCAGGGCUGAAGCUCAGAAUUUGGAGGUCAGACCCAGGGAGAGGACUAGGGAUGACUGCCUGGAGAUGGCCUGAAGGGACAGGAGUGUGGUGCAACUGCAACUGAUAGUAUACAUUGGGGGAUCCUAGACCUGCUGUAAAUGAGAGGCAUUAUUGUUGAGGAACUAGGACCCACCAUAACAGACUUUCUUCAUGUGAACGAUCUCAGCCAAGAGGGCACUGCCUCUGUGGCCCUGGAAACAGGUGCACACAGCCACUGCCACAGCCCCAGGCUCCGUGGACAGCAGCCACUGCUGCUGUGGUUCUAGGAGCAGGCACUAGCCUUUGCACCUGCACACCCACUAUCCAGGGGAUAACAGUCAGCACAUGCUGAGGAAACAGGUGGGAAGCAUCCAUACAAAAAAUGGCCCUUACACCAAAAAUAUUAAACCCCUGCAAGCUACAGAGGGAUGUUCGCACAUAAAAAAAUAGCCCUCCAAGACCACAGUAGAUAACUGUUUCUCCUUAACUCACAGAGUAAGAGAAAUAUAAGUAAAACAAAGAAGCAGAGGAAAUACUCCCAAUUUCAGGGAAUUCUCCUGAAAGAACAAUGAAACAGACCUCUUCAGUCUAAUAUACACUGAGUUUGAAAAAGAAAUAAUGAAAAUGCUGAAGGAAUUAAGAAAGGUUAUCAACAGAAAUAAAGAUUACUGUAAAAAGGAACUGGAAACUACUAGUAGAAGCCAAGAAAAAUUAGAAAAUUCAUUUGUUGAGAUGAAAGCUAAACUAAAGUCAAUGAAUAGCAGAAUGAAUAAUGCAGAAGAACAAAUCAUGAUUUGGAAGACAGAAUAAUGGAAGUCACCCAAUCAGAACAGUAGACAGAAAACCAAAUG
rnacentral:lncRNA from 1 species